rnacentral:rRNA from 1 species
AGCAAUACAAGGCAGACGGCUCAGUAACGCGUAGUCAACCUACCCUAUGGACGGGAAUAACCUCGGGAAACUGAGUAUAAUGCCCGAUAGAACACUAUACCUGGAAUGGUUUGUGUUCCAAAUGAUUUAUCGCCGUAGGAUGGGACUGCGGCCUAUCAGUUUGUUGGUGAGGUAAUGGCCCACCAAGACUAUUACAGGUACCGGCUCUGAGAGGAGUGGCCCGGAGAUGGGUACUGAGACACGGACCCAGGCCCUAUGGGGCGCAGCAGGCGAGAAAACUUUGCAAUGUGCGAAAGCACGACAAGGUUAAUCCGAGUGGUUUCUGCUAAAGGAACCUUUUGUCAGUCCUGAAAACACUGUUGAAUAAGGGGUGGGCAAGUUCUGGUGUCAGCCGCCGCGGUAAAACCAGCACCUCAAGUGGUCAGGAUGAUUAUUGGGCCUAAAGCAUCCGUAGCCGGCUCUGUAAGUUUUCGGUUAAAUCUGUACGCUCAACGUACAGGCUGCUGGGAAUACUGCAGAGCUAGGGAGUGGGAGAGGUAGACGGUACUCGGUAGGAAGUGGUAAAAUCCUUUGAUCUCUCGAUGACCACCUGUGGCGAAGGCGGUCUACCAGAACACGUCCGACGGUGAGGGAUGAAAGCUGGGGGAGCAAACCGGAUUAGAUACCCGGGUAGUCCCAGCUGUAAACUAUGCAAACUCAGUGAUGCACUGGCUUGUGGCCAGUGCAGUGUUGCAGGGAAGCCGUUAAGUUUGCCGCCUGGGAAGUACGUACGCAAGUAUGAAACUUAAAGGAAUGGCGGGGGAGCACCACAAAGGGGAAGCUGCGUC